CAGCGAUGUGCUCACACAGACACCAUCACCCACCCUCUGCCCAGCCCUGCCCCGGUACCCACCGAAAAUGAGGGACAGAUGUGCAGAGCCUUCAACCACAGAUGCAUCAGAAAACAAGAUAAAGAUUUUGUUCCAAACACUGACAGUUUUCACAGCCGUUCCCACUGAAUUGCAAUGCACUGCUCUUUAGGCAGUGUUUCCUCACCACUGAGAAGCACUCCCGAAAUUACGCUAUCUACAUAAAUAUUGAAGGCAGCACUUUACAUCUCCAUCCCUGCGUUAACCCACAGAAGGAGGCUCCUCGUGGCGGCUGUAAGCAGUGCUGCAGGGCCCUGCUCCUGGUCAGCCUUCCAUCUCUGACACUCAACCUCUACUCAGAAAGAGGGCACGAUGUUGGGAUCAGCCUUCAUUAUGAAUCUCUAAACAGCGG
rnacentral:lncRNA from 1 species